AACGAACGCUGGCGGCGUGCCUAACACAUGCAAGUCGUGCGAGAAAGUUCCUUCGGGAGCGAGUAAAGCGGCGCACGGGUGAGUAACACGUAGGUAACCUGCCCCCCAGUCUGGAACAACUAGAGGAAACUCUAGCUAAUGCCGGAUGAGACCACGAUCCCUUCGGGGGUUGCGGCCAAAGAUGGCCUCUACUUGUAAGCUAUCGCUGAGGGAUGGGCCUGCGGGCCAUUAGCUUGUUGGUGAGGUAACGGCUCACCAAGGCUGUGAUGGCUAGCUGGUCUGAGAGGAUGACCAGCCACACUGGGACUGAGACACGGCCCAGACUCCUACGGAGGCAGCAGUGGGGAAUAUUGCGCAAUGGGCGAAGCCUGACGCAGCGACGCCGCGUGGGUGAUGAAGGCCU
rnacentral:rRNA from 1 species